GCCUUCUUGGCUUAGUGGUAAAGCGUAUCACUAGUACUACUUCACAGUGCAAUGAUAAGAUCGCUAGUUCGAUUCUGGCAGAAGGCA
rnacentral:tRNA from 1 species